rnacentral:rRNA from 1 species
GACGAACGCUGGCGGCGUGCUUAACACAUGCAAGUCGAACGGAAAGGCCCUGCUAUUGUGGGGUGCUCGAGUGGCGAAAGGGUGAGUAACACGUGAGUAACCUGCCCUUGACUUUGGGAUAACUUCAGGAAACUGGGGCUAAUACCGGAUAGGAGCUCCUGCUGCAUGGUGGGGGUUGGAAAGUUUCGGCGGUUGGGGAUGGUCUCGCGGCUUAUCAGCUUGUUGGUGGGGUAGUGGCUUACCAAGGCUUUGACGGGUAGCCGGCCUGAGGGGGUGACCGGCCACAUUGGGACUGAGAUAGGGCCCAGUCUCCUACGGGAGGCAGCAGUGGGGAAUAUUGCGCAAUGGGCGGAAGCCUGAUGCAACAACGCCGCGAGCGGGAUGACGGCCUUCGGGUUGUAAACCGCUUUCGCCUGUGACGAAGCGUGUGUGACGGUAAUGGGUAAAGAAGCACCGGCUAACUACGUG